GACGAACGCUGGCGGCGUGCUUAACACAUGCAAGUCAAACGGAAAGACCCUGCUUUUGUGGGGUGCUCGAGUGGCGAACGGGUGAGUAACACGUGAGUAACCUGCCCUUGACUUUGGGAUAACUUCAGGAAACUGGGGCUAAUACCGGAUAGGAGCUCCUGCUGCAUGGUGGGGGUUGGAAAGUUUCGGCGGUUGGGGAUGGACUCGCGGCUUAUCAGCUUGUUGGUGGGGUAGUGGCUUACCAAGGCUUUGACGGGUAGCCGGCCUGAGAGGGUGACCGGCCACAUUGGGACUGAGAUACGGCCCAGACUCCUACGGGAGGCAGCAGUGGGGAAUAUUGCACAAUGGGCGGAAGCCUGAUGCAGCAACGCCGCGUGCGGGAUGACGGCCUUCGGGUUGUAAACCGCUUUCGCCUGUGACGAAGCGUGAGUGACGGUAAUGGGUAAAGAAGCACCGGCUAACUACGUG
rnacentral:rRNA from 1 species